AACGCUAGCGGCAGGCUUAACACAUGCAAGUCGAGGGGUAUAGUUCUUCGGAGCUAGAGACCGGCGCACGGGUGCGUAACGCGUAUGCAAUCUGCCUUUCACAGAGGGAUAGCCCAGAGAAAUUUGGAUUAAUACCUCAUAGUAUUAUGGAGUGGCAUCACUUUAUAAUUAAAGUCACAACGGUGAAAGAUGAGCAUGCGUCCCAUUAGCUAGUUGGUAAGGUAACGGCUUACCAAGGCAACGAUGGGUAGGGGUCCUGAGAGGGAGAUCCCCCACACUGGUACUGAGACACGGACCAGACUCCUACGGGAGGCAGCAGUGAGGAAUAUUGGACAAUGGGCGCAAGCCUGAUCCAGCCAUGCCGCGUGCAGGAUGACGGUCCUAUGGAUUGUAAACUGCUUUUGUACGAGAAGAAACACUCCUAUGUAUAGGAGCUUGACGGUAUCGUAAGAAUAAGGAUCGGCUAACUCCGUGCCAGCAGCCGCGGUAAUACGGAGGAUCCAAGCGUUAUCCGGAAUCAUUGGGUUUAAAGGGUCCGUAGGCGGUUUAGUAAGUCAGUGGUGAAAGCCCAUCGCUCAACGGUGGAACGGCCAUUGAUACUGCUGAACUUGAAUUACUGGGAAGUAACUAGAAUAUGUAGUGUAGCGGUGAAAUGCUUAGAUAUUACAUGGAAUACCAAUUGCGAAGGCAGGUUACUACCAGUUGAUUGACGCUGAUGGACGAAAGCGUGGGGAGCGAACAGGAUUAGAUACCCUGGUAGUCCACGCCGUAAACGAUGGAUACUAGCUGUUGGGAGCAAUCUCAGUGGCUAAGCGAAAGUGAUA
rnacentral:rRNA from 1 species